rnacentral:lncRNA from 1 species
GUUUUGAUCUCUCAGAAUGACAUCCCGGUUCCUCAGAGUGUUGCCAGUGCUGGAGGCCACAUUGCAGUUGGGCAGCAAGGGCUUGGUAGUGUGAAGGACCCAAGUAACUGUGGGAUGCCUCUGACCCCUCCCACCUCUCCAGAACAGGCUAUCCUAGGUGAGAGUGGAGGUAUGCAGAGUGCUGCCAGUCACCUGGUUUCCCAAGAUGGAGGGAUGAUAACGAUGCACAGUCCAAAGAGAUCGGGGAAGAUUCCUCCAAAACUCCACAAUCAUAUGGUCCAUCGAGUCUGGAAGGAAUGCAUCCUCAACAGAACCCAGUCCAAGAGGAGCCAAAUGUCAACUCCAACUCUUGAAGAAGAGCCUGCUAGCAAUCCUGCUACUUGGGAUUUUGUGGAUCCAACCCAAAGAGUCAGCUGUUCUUGUUCCAGGCAUAAGCUUUUAAAACGUUGUGCAGUCGGGCCCAAUCGACCUCCCACAGUAUCUCAACCAGGGUUCAGUGCAGGACCAUCAUCAUCUUCAUCUUUACCACCUCCUGCUUCUUCUAAGCACAAAACAGCAGAAAGACAGGAAAAAGGAGACAAGCUGCAAAAGAGACCCUUAAUACCAUUUCACCAUAGGCCCUCUGUGGCCGAAGAAUUAUGCAUGGAGCAAGAUACACCAGGACAGAAACUAGGGUUGGCAGGGAUAGACUCCUCCUUAGAGGUGUCUAGCAGUAGGAAAUAUGAUAAGCAAAUGGCCGUGCCUUCC